GCUGACUUAGCUCAGUAGGUAGAGCAACUGACUUGUAAUCAGUAGGUCGGGGGUUCAACUCCUCUAGUCAGCACCA
rnacentral:tRNA from 2 species